rnacentral:rRNA from 5 species
CGACUCUCGGCAACGGAUAUCUCGGCUCUCGCAUCGAUGAAGAACGUAGCGAACUGCGAUACUUGGUGUGAAUUGCAGAAUCCCGUGAACCAUCGAGUCUUUGAACGCAAGUUGCGCCCGAAGCCAUUUGGACGAGGGCACGUUUGCCUGGGUGUCACAC